rnacentral:siRNA from 1 species
UGAUAUAGUGCCACGUCAGCGA